rnacentral:piRNA from 1 species
UGCACUGGGAUAUUUAUAUGU